GCGCGGUAAAACCAGCACCUCAAGUGGUCAGGAGGAUUAUUGGGCCUAAAGCAUCCGUAGCCGGCUCUGUAAGUUUUCGGUUAAAUCCAUGUGCUCAACACAUGGGCUGCCGAAAAUACUGCAUAGCUAGGGAGUGGGAGAGGUAGACGGUACUCGGUAGGAAGGGGUAAAAUCCUUUGAUCUAUCGAUGACCACCUGUGGCGAAGGCGGUCUACCAGAACACGUUCGACGGUGAGGGAUGAAAGCUGGGGGAGCAAACCGGAUUAGAUACCCGGGUAGUCCCAGCUGUAAACGAUGCAGACUCGAUGAUGCAUUGGCAUAUAGCCAGUGCAGUGUCGCAGGGAAGCCGUUAAGUCUGCCGCCUGGGAAGUACGUACGCAAGUAUGAAACUUAAAGGAAUUGGCGGGGGAGCA
rnacentral:rRNA from 1 species